GUUCAGGGGUAAACCUGAGAAAUCCGAAAGAUCGAAUGGGGACAUUCAGUGCGUUUCGCCUGGCGGCGAGCUCAGGUCGCGAGACGUUCGGGCGUUCGCGCUCGUUCGCUCCGAUCGAAGCCGUUAGCCGCCGGCGCACGCGUGCACUUCUCCCCUAGUAGGACGUCGCGACCCGUUGGGUGCCGGUCUAAGGUCCGCGGUGGCGACCGCCGGGGCACGGUUCAUCCCGUGUCCUUGGCGGACCCGCGGUUGCCCGACCGGCCCGCUCGACGGUAUGACGAUGGCGUAGGGCCGCGAUCGUUCGCGCCCGGCCCGUCGCAAGCUCGACCGUUCGCCCGGCUAUCGGACCUGUGUGCCGACACCGGGCACGGGCGGCUGCUGGCGACGGUGUCCUCGGGCGGGCCCCGAUACACGCCCGUCGGCGACGCUCUAGCUUUGGAUACUUUCAGGACCCGUCUUGAAACACGGACCAAGGAGUCUAGCAUGUGCGCGAGUCAUUGGGACUCUGAUAA
rnacentral:rRNA from 1 species